UAGCGUUGCUCGGAAUCACUGGGCGUAAAGGGUGCGUAGGCGGGUUUUUAAGUCAUAGGUGAAAUCCUGGAGCUCAACUCCAGAACUGCCUUUGAUACUGAAAGUCUUGAGUAUGGGAGAGGUGAGUGGAACUGCGAGUGUAGAGGUGAAAUUCGUAGAUAUUCGCAAGAACACCAGUGGCGAAGGCGGCUCACUGGCCCAUAACUGACGCUGAGGCACGAAAGCGUGGGGAGCAAACAGG
rnacentral:rRNA from 1 species